AAAACCUGACUCCAGAAGGCACCCUCAGGAUCUACAUUUGCUGCUUUUAUAUUUCAGAGGAAGCUACUGAUCGAAUGAAGGUAAGACAUGAUAAUCCUGUAGAUGCUAAGAAGUCAUCAAGAUUUGAAACAAGCUACUUUGGACAGAGAACGAAUUGUUUUGAUUCACGCAAUCUGAAAAUCAGAAACAAGAAGGUUCCUGAUUAAAGAUUAAA